rnacentral:rRNA from 1 species
GACGAACGCUGGCGGCGUGCCUAACACAUGCAAGUCGAGCGGAGAUAAGCGGAUGGUAACUGAAGUUUGUCUUAGCGGCGGACGGGUGAGUAACACGUGGGCAACCUGCCUUGGAGUGGGGGAUAACACCGGGAAAUCGGUGCUAAUACCGCAUAACAUACACAUACUGCAUGGUGAGUGUAUCAAAGGAGCAAUCCGCUUUAAGAUGGGCCCGCGGCUGAUUAGCUAGUUGGUAAGGUAACGGCUUACCAAGGCGACGAUCAGUAGCCGACCUGAGAGGGUGACCGGCCACACUGGAACUGAGACACGGUCCAGACUCCUACGGGAGGCAGCAGUGGGGAAUAUUGCGCAAUGGGGGAAACCCUGACGCAGCAACGCCGCGUGGAGGAAGAAGGUCUUCGGAUUGUAAACUCCUGUCUUCUGGGACGAAGUAUGACGGUACCAGAGGAGGAAGCCACGGCUAACUACGUGCCAGCAGCCGCGGUAAACGUAGCGUG